rnacentral:rRNA from 1 species
UGGGGAAUAUUGCACAAUGGGCGCAAGCCUGAUGCAGCCAUGCCGCGUGUGUGAAGAAGGCCUUCGGGUUGUAAAGCACUUUCAGUCGUGAGGAAGGGUUAGUAGUUAAUACCUGCUAGCUUUGACGUUAGCGACAGAAGAAGCACCGGCUAACUCCGUGCCAGCAGCCGCGGUAAUACGGAGGGUGCGAGCGUUAAUCGGAAUUACUGGGCGUAAAGCGUACGCAGGCGGCUAAGUAAGUCAGAUGUGAAAGCCCCGGGCUCAACCUGGGAACUGCAUUUGAAAGCUGCUUGGCUAGAGUGCGACAGAGGGUGGUAGAAUUUCCAGGUGUAGCGGUGAAAUGCGUAGAGAUCUGAAGGAAUACCAAUGGCGAAGGCAGCCACCUGGGUCGACACUGACGCUCAUGUACGAAAAGCGUGGGUAGCAAAACAGGAUUUAGAUACCCUGGUAGUCCACGCCGUAAACGAUGUCUACUAGCAGUUUAGCCUCUUAAGAGGUGUCUUGCGCAGCUAACGCAUUAAGUAGACCGCCUGGGAGUACGGCC